GAGGGCAAAACUCAGUGGUAGAGCACGUGCUUAGCACGCAUGAGGUCCUGGGUUCAAAUCCCAGUGCCUCCA
rnacentral:tRNA from 1 species